ensembl:snoRNA SNORA74 Small nucleolar RNA SNORA74
UCCAGUGGUAGUCAGCUGUCCAGAGCAAUCCUGUGCCUGUGAUAGUGUUACACUGCUGGGAGAUAAAGAUCAGUCACUUCUGGCUGCUGUUGUCCCCGCUCUGGAGACAGCUGAGGCCAGAAAGAAGUGUCCCUGUGCUUCCCUGAGAGCGCACUAGAGGUUUGCUUUCCCUCUGUAGUGCUAGUCUGGGAGCAUACAUA